rnacentral:rRNA from 1 species
AUUGAACGCUGGCGGCAUGCCUUACACAUGCAAGUCGAACGGCAGCACGGGGCAACCUGGUGGCGAGUGGCGAACGGGUGAGUAAAGUAUCGGAACGUACCUUUCAGUGGGGGAUAACGUAGCGAAAGUUACGCUAAUACCGCAUAUUCUGUGAGCAGGAAAGCAGGGGAUCGCAAGACCUCAUGCUCAUGGAGCGGCCGAUAUCUGAUUAGCUAGUUGGUGGGGUAAAGGCUCACCAAGGCAACGAUCAGUAGCUGGUCUGAGAGGACGACCAGCCACACUGGAACUGAGACACGGUCCAGACUCCUACGGGAGGCAGCAGUGGGGAAUUUUGGACAAUGGGGGCAACCCUGAUCCAGCAAUGCCGCGUGAGUGAAGAAGGCCUUCGGGUUGUAAAGCUCUUUUGUCAGGGAAGAAACGACUCCUUCUAAUACAGGGGGCUCAUGACGGUACCGUAAGAAUAAGCACCGGCUAACUACGUGCCAGCCGCCGCGGUAA